UACGUAGGGGGCGAGCGUUAUCCGGAAUCAUUGGGCGUAAAGGGCGCGUAGGCGGAUAUUUAAGUCAGGUGUGAAAACCCAGGGCUCAACCUUGGGAUUGCAUCUGAUACUGGGUAUCUUGAGGACAGGAGAGGAAAGUGGAAUUCCUAGUGUAGCGGUGAAAUGCGUAGAUAUUAGGAGGAACACCGGUGGUGUAGACGGCUCUCUGGACCGUAACUGACGCUGAGACACGAAAGCGUGGGUAGCAAACAGG
rnacentral:rRNA from 1 species